AACGAACGCUGGCGGCAUGCCUAACACAUGCAAGUCGAACGAGACCUCCGGGUCUUGUGGCGCACGGCUGCGUAACGCGUGGGAACCUGCAUUUAGGUUCGGAAUAACUCAGAGAAAUUUGAGCUAAUACCGGAUGAUGUCUUCGAACCAAAGAUUUAUUGCAUUUGGAUGGACCCGCGUUGCAUUCGCUAGUUGGGGGGGUAAAGGAAUACCAAGGCGACGAUCCAUAGCUGGUCUGAGAGGAUGAUCAGCCACACUGGGACGGAGACACGGCCCAGACUCUUACGGGAGGCAGCAGUGGGGAAUAUUGCACAAUGGGCGAAAGCCUGAUCCAGCAAUGCCGCGUAAGUGAUGAAGUCCUUAGAGUUGUAAAGUUCUUUUACCCGAGAUGAUAUUGACAGUAUCGGGUCAAUAAGCUCCGGCUAACUCCGUG
rnacentral:rRNA from 1 species